rnacentral:lncRNA from 1 species
GUUUUCAAAGUUAUUGAGACGUAUAUAACGAAAUGUAUGAGAAAAUCAAAUGGGAUUCGCAUCAUUUUUCCAUCGGAAUAAAAAACAUAAAUCUAACUCAAUAAAGUAUAUUUUGAGAAUCAAUUUUCCGAUUCUCAUCUACAUUUCAUUCAAUAUUGCACCUAUCAAACCAAAUUUUACGAUACUAAAAGGCCACUUUUGCAAAGAUGGAUGAAUGAGAUGAUUUUCAGAGUCACGAAGAUGCAGGUAGCCUCCAGAGCAAAUUUGGUCCACGAGUCAGAAGAACGAAUCCGUGGCAAUUAAAAGGAAUCGUUUGUUUCUGCAAAACUCCCCACCUAAACAUCAUAAAAGAAACAAACGACAUCAAAGAUAGAAAAAAAAAAUACAAUUAAUGACCGAAUCCACCCUGCAUGCCAAGGAAAAAAAGACGACUUAAUUAGCAGUAGAUAGACUCUCCCUUCUACUCACCUUAUAAAUAUGCUCCCCACUCCCAACCCUUCUUCCCCAUUCCUCCAACUAUUACUCAAAACCCAAGUAGCCGACGAUGAGGAGAGCUAAAGUGAGCCCCAUUUACAGAGGCAAGCGCAAGAAGAUGAAGCGAGAGGACGCCAUUGCCGAUGCCAAGAUGGCACGUAUGCGUGCCAGGACUCGCUCCGCCACCCGCAACUUAUCCCCUCAGUAUUCCUCCUCCUCCUCCUCCUCCACAGCCGCGCCACCGCCUCCUCCUCCUCCUCCUCCUCCUCCUCCUCCGUCUCCGCCAGCGGAGCAGAAGCCAGCUGUCGUCGACAACAACAAGGAGGUUUUCGUGAUCGAUACGGCGGGGUCGGAUGAGGCGGAGGAGGAAGCGUGGAAGGCGCUGGACGUGGGUGGUGGGGAGCCGUGGGAUUUGAAGGCUGCGACGUCGUUUAAUAACUGGGAGUGGGAGGACAGUCUCCUGCAGCUGACUUACGAGGAAGAGUGGUCUCUGUUUGGUGGCAUGGGCGGAGGAGGAGGGUAUUUCAGUAAUAAUAGUAAUAAUAACGGUGGGUUAUUUGAAGAAGACUGGAAUCUUUGGAACUUCAACUGUACUACUACUACUCCAGCUCAUCCUGCUGCUGCAAGUGACCGUAAACCAACUCCACCGUGACCCGACCCGAUCGAAUUUCGAUAAUGCAGAAUAAAGAUGAAUUAUAGAUGAUAAAAAAUGGAAUAAUAGUUAAUGUUAUGAUUUUCGGAAAAAAUAAUAAUUUAUGUCAUGUAACGGAUGGUAUGUUUUGUCAUAUCCUAAAAUGUAUGUUAUGAUGACGGAACUUUCUAUGCUUUCUGCGUCUGCCAACUUUCCUGCAUGCAGUACAGCACUGUAACUCAGUUAGUAGUAUGGUGUACGGCGGAUUCGUUCAGGUUUUAUAUCAGUCACAAUUACAAAUAGAAGCCUAUAUAAUAUUAAUAAGUACAGG